rnacentral:rRNA from 1 species
UACGGAGGGUGCAAGCGUUAUCCGGAUUCACUGGGUUUAAAGGGUGCGUAGGUGGGUUGGUAAGUCAGUGGUGAAAUCUCCAGGCUUAACUUGGAAACUGCCAUUGAUACUAUCAAUAUUGAAUACCGUGGAGGUCAGCGGAAUAUGUCAUGUAGCGGUGAAAUGCUUAGAGAUGACAUAGAACACCAAUUGCGAAGGCAGCUGGCUACACGAAUAUUGACACUGAUGCACGAAAGCGUGGGGAUCAAACAGG